rnacentral:rRNA from 1 species
GAUGAACGCUGGCGGCGUGCCUAACACAUGCAAGUCGAGCGGACGGACGUGCUUUUCGCUUUGCUGUUGUGGGCGGCGGGUGGGUGAGGAAUAAGUGGCUAACGUGUCUAUAGGACUGGGAUAAGGUCGGGACACCGGAGACAGUAUCGGAUAAUAUUUAGAACUGCAGGGUUCUAACGUGAAAGACGAACGAGCUGUCACUGGUUGGGGGUGCCGAGCUGCAUUAGCUAGUUGGUAAGGUGGCGGCUUACCAAGGCAACGAUGCAUAGCCGACCUGAGAGGGUGAUGGGCCACACUGGAACUGAGACACGGUCCAGACUCCGACGGGAGGCAGCAGUAGGGAAUGUUCGGCAAUGGGCGAAAGCCUGACGGAGCAACGCCGCGUGAGUGAUGAAGGUCUUCGGAUCGUAAAACUCUGUUAUUUGGGAAGAACAUAAGUGUACGUAGCUGUGCACGUCUUGACGGUACCUAAACAGAAAGCCCCGGCUAACUACGUG